rnacentral:rRNA from 1 species
UACGUAGGCAGCAAGCGUUGUUCGGAGUUACUGGGCGUAAAGAGUGCGUAGGUGGUGCCCUAAGUCUGUUGUGAAAUCUCCCGGCUUAACUGGGAGGGUGCGGUGGAAACUGGGGUGCUUGAGUGUGGGAGAGGUAAGCGGAAUUCCUGGUGUAGCGAUGAAAUGCGUAGAUAUCAGGAGGAACACCGGUGGUGUAGACGGCUUACUGGACCACGACUGACACUGAGGCACGAAAGCGUGGGUAGCAAACAGG